rnacentral:rRNA from 1 species
UCCUUUUGUUGAUAAUUUAAGGUCUAACCUGCCCACUGAGAUUUUAAAUGGCCGUGGUAUUUUGACCGUGCUAAGGUAGCAUAAUCAUUAGUUUUUUAAUUAAAAACUGGAAUGAAAGGUUGGAUAAGAAAAUAGCUGUCUCUGUUAAAUUUAAUUAGAAUUUUAUUUUUAAGUUAAAAAGCUUAAUUAUUAUUAAAAGACGAGAAGACCCUAUAGAGUUUAAUUAUUUAAUAAAAAAUAUAUUUUAGUAUUUAUUUAUUUAUUUUAUUGAAUAAUUUAAUUGGGGUGAUUGAAAAAUUUAUUUAACUUUUUUUAUUUUAAAACAUUAAUUUAUGAGUAUAUGAUCCAAUAUUUUUGAUUAUAAGAUAAAAUUACCUUAGGGAUAACAGCGUAAUUUUUUUAGAAAGUUCAUAUUAAAAAAAAAGAUUGCGACCUCGAUGUUGGAUUAAAAUAAAUUUUUGGUGUAGAAGCUAAAAAUAUUAGGUCUGUUCGACCUUUAAAAUUUUACAUGAUCU